CUGUGAAUAUCGUCACUAUUCUGAUUUUGUAGUAAAAUAAGGCAGGAUGAACUUUCAUCAUAUUAAGAUCUUGCGUGAAUACUCAGGUCUAUUUUUUUUUUCCGCUCUGGGUUUGUAAGUGCUGGUAAUGAAC